UCCGAAUAUUAUUGUGUGGUCUC
rnacentral:siRNA from 1 species